AACGAACGCUGGCGGCAGGCUUAACACAUGCAAGUCGAGCGCCCCGCAAGGGGAGCGGCAGACGGGUGAGUAACGCGUGGGAAUCUACCCAUCUCUACGGAAUAACGCAUGGAAACGUGUGCUAAUACCGUAUACGUCCUUCGGGAGGAAGAUUUAUCGGAGAUGGAUGAGCCCGCGUUGGAUUAGCUAGUUGGUGGGGUAAAGGCCUACCAAGGCGACGAUCCAUAGCUGGUCUGAGAGGAUGAUCAGCCACACUGGGACUGAGACACGGCCCAGACUCCUACGGGAGGCAGCAGUGGGGAAUAUUGGACAAUGGGCGCAAGCCUGAUCCAGCCAUGCCGCGUGAGUGAUGAAGGCCCUAGGGUUGUAAAGCUCUUUCACCGGUGAAGAUAAUGACGGUAACCGGAGAAGAAACCCCGGCUAACUUCGUGCCAGCAGCCGCCGCAGUAA
rnacentral:rRNA from 1 species